rnacentral:rRNA from 1 species
GGGUUGUGAGGUUAAGCGACUAAGCGUACACGGUGGAUGCCCUGGCAGUCAGAGGCGAUGAAGGACGUGCUAAUCUGCGAUAAGCGUCGGUAAGGUGAUAUGAACCGUUAUAACCGGCGAUUUCCGAAUGGGGAAACCCAGUGUGUUUCGACACACUAUCAUUAACUGAAUCCAUAGGUUAAUGAGGCGAACCGGGGGAACUGAAACAUCUAAGUACCCCGAGGAAAAGAAAUCAACCGAGAUUCCCCCAGUAGCGGCGAGCGAACGGGGAGCAGCCCAGAGCCUGAAUCAGUGUGUGUGUUAGUGGAAGCGUCUGGAAAGGCGCGCGAUACAGGGUGACAGCCCCGUACACAAAAAUGCACAUGCUGUGAGCUCGAUGAGUAGGGCGGGACACGUGGUAUCCUGUCUGAAUAUGGGGGGACCAUCCUCCAAGGCUAAAUACUCCUGACUGACCGAUAGUGAACCAGUACCGUGAGGGAAAGGCGAAAAGAACCCCGGCGAGGGGAGUGAAAAAGAACCUGAAACCGUGUACGUACAAGCAGUGGGAGCACGCUUAGGCGUGUGACUGCGUACCUUUUGUAUAAUGGGUCAGCGACUUAUAUUCUGUAGCAAGGUUAACCGAAUAGGGGAGCCGAAGGGAAACCGAGUCUUAACUGGGCGUUAAGUUGCAGGGUAUAGACCCGAAACCCGGUGAUCUAGCCAUGGGCAGGUUGAAGGUUGGGUAACACUAACUGGAGGACCGAACCGACUAAUGUUGAAAAAUUAGCGGAUGACUUGUGGCUGGGGGUGAAAGGCCAAUCAAACCGGGAGAUAGCUGGUUCUCCCCGAAAGCUAUUUAGGUAGCGCCUCGUGAAUUCAUCUCCGGGGGUAGAGCACUGUUUCGGCAAGGGGGUCAUCCCGACUUACCAACCCGAUGCAAACUGCGAAUACCGGAGAAUGUUAUCACGGGAGACACACGGCGGGUGCUAACGUCCGUCGUGAAGAGGGAAACAACCCAGACCGCCAGCUAAGGUCCCAAAGUCAUGGUUAAGUGGGAAACGAUGUGGGAAGGCCCAGACAGCCAGGAUGUUGGCUUAGAAGCAGCCAUCAUUUAAAGAAAGCGUAAUAGCUCACUGGUCGAGUCGGCCUGCGCGGAAGAUGUAACGGGGCUAAACCAUGCACCGAAGCUGCGGCAGCGACGCUUAUGCGUUGUUGGGUAGGGGAGCGUUCUGUAAGCCUGCGAAGGUGUGCUGUGAGGCAUGCUGGAGGUAUCAGAAGUGCGAAUGCUGACAUAAGUAACGAUAAAGCGGGUGAAAAGCCCGCUCGCCGGAAGACCAAGGGUUCCUGUCCAACGUUAAUCGGGGCAGGGUGAGUCGACCCCUAAGGCGAGGCCGAAAGGCGUAGUCGAUGGGAAACAGGUUAAUAUUCCUGUACUUGGUGUUACUGCGAAGGGGGGACGGAGAAGGCUAUGUUGGCCGGGCGACGGUUGUCCCGGUUUAAGCGUGUAGGCUGGUUUUCCAGGCAAAUCCGGAAAAUCAAGGCUGAGGCGUGAUGACGAGGUACUACGGUGCUGAAGCAACAAAUGCCAUGCUUCCAGGAAAAGCCUCUAAGCAUCAGGUAACAUCAAAUCGUACCCCAAACCGACACAGGUGGUCAGGUAGAGAAUACCAAGGCGCUUGAGAGAACUCGGGUGAAGGAACUAGGCAAAAUGGUGCCGUAACUUCGGGAGAAGGCACGCUGAUAUGUAGGUGAAGUCCCUCGCGGAUGGAGCUGAAAUCAGUCGAAGAUACCAGCUGGCUGCAACUGUUUAUUAAAAACACAGCACUGUGCAAACACGAAAGUGGACGUAUACGGUGUGACGCCUGCCCGGUGCCGGAAGGUUAAUUGAUGGGGUCAGCGCAAGCGAAGCUCUUGAUCGAAGCCCCGGUAAACGGCGGCCGUAACUAUAACGGUCCUAAGGUAGCGAAAUUCCUUGUCGGGUAAGUUCCGACCUGCACGAAUGGCGUAAUGAUGGCCAGGCUGUCUCCACCCGAGACUCAGUGAAAUUGAACUCGCUGUGAAGAUGCAGUGUACCCGCGGCAAGACGGAAAGACCCCGUGAACCUUUACUAUAGCUUGACACUGAACAUUGAGCCUUGAUGUGUAGGAUAGGUGGGAGGCUUUGAAGUGUGGACGCCAGUCUGCAUGGAGCCGACCUUGAAAUACCACCCUUUAAUGUUUGAUGUUCUAACGUUGACCCGUAAUCCGGGUUGCGGACAGUGUCUGGUGGGUAGUUUGACUGGGGCGGUCUCCUCCUAAAGAGUAACGGAGGAGCACGAAGGUUGGCUAAUCCUGGUCGGACAUCAGGAGGUUAGUGCAAUGGCAUAAGCCAGCUUGACUGCGAGCGUGACGGCGCGAGCAGGUGCGAAAGCAGGUCAUAGUGAUCCGGUGGUUCUGAAUGGAAGGGCCAUCGCUCAACGGAUAAAAGGUACUCCGGGGAUAACAGGCUGAUACCGCCCAAGAGUUCAUAUCGACGGCGGUGUUUGGCACCUCGAUGUCGGCUCAUCACAUCCUGGGGCUGAAGUAGGUCCCAAGGGUAUGGCUGUUCGCCAUUUAAAGUGGUACGCGAGCUGGGUUUAGAACGUCGUGAGACAGUUCGGUCCCUAUCUGCCGUGGGCGCUGGAGAACUGAGGGGGGCUGCUCCUAGUACGAGAGGACCGGAGUGGACGCAUCACUGGUGUUCGGGUUGUCAUGCCAAUGGCACUGCCCGGUAGCUAAAUGCGGAAGAGAUAAGUGCUGAAAGCAUCUAAGCACGAAACUUGCCCCGAGAUGAGUUCUCCCUGACCCUUUAAGGGUCCUGAAGGAACGUUGAAGACGACGACGUUGAUAGGCCGGGUGUGUAAGCGCAGCGAUGCGUUGAGCUAACCGGUACUAAUGAACCGUGAGGCUUAACCUUACAACGCCGAAG